GUUUUCUCUUUUUUUA
rnacentral:sRNA from 1 species